UACGGAGGGUGCAAACGUUGCUCGGAAUCAUUGGGCGUAAAGCGCACGUAGGCGGUCGGCUAUGUCGGAUGUGAAAGCCUCGGGCUUAACCCGAGAAGGGCAUCCGAAACUGGCCGGCUUGAGUACGGAAGAGGGUCUCGGAAUUCCCGGUGUAGAGGUGAAAUUCGUAGAUAUCGGGAGGAACACCAGUGGCGAAGGCGGAGACCUGGGCCGAUACUGACGCUGAGGUACGAAAGCGUGGGGAGCAAACAGG
rnacentral:rRNA from 1 species